AUGUACAUUCCUACAACAUAAUGUUAAUGAAUUGAAUCCCAUUAGAACUCUGUUGUUAAGCGUUCUCGGGCUAAAGUAGUACUGGGAUGGGUGAGCACUAGGGAAGUCCUAGUGUUUUACAUG
rnacentral:rRNA from 1 species